rnacentral:rRNA from 1 species
AGAGUUUGAUCCUGGCUCAGAACAAACGCUGGCGGCGUGCCUAACACAUGCAAGUCGUACGUGAAAAUCCGCUUCGGUGGAUGAGUAAAGUGGCGCACGGGUGAGUAACGCGUGGAUAAUCUGCCCUUUAGUCGGGAAUAACUCAUCGAAAGGUGGGCUAAUACCGGAUAACGCUGUUGUUGCUUCGGUGAUACAGCCAAAGGGGGCCUCUAUUUAUAAGCUCUUACUGAAGGGUGAGUCCGCGUACCAUUAGCUAGUUGGCAGGGUAAUAGCCUACCAAGGCGACGAUGGUUAGCUGGUCUGAGAGGAUGAUCAGCCACACUGGAACUGAGAUACGGUCCAGACUCCUACGGGAGGCAGCAGUGAGGAAUCUUGCGCAAUGGGGGAAACCCUGACGCAGCAACGCCGCGUGAGUGAGGAAGGUCUUCGGAUCGUAAAGCUCUGUCGGGUGGAAAGAAAGGCUUGGAGGCUAAUACCUUCCAUGCUUGACGGUACCACCAAAGGAAGCACCGGCUAACUCCGUGCCAGCAGCCGCAGUAAUACGGGGGGUGCAAGCGUUGUUCGGAAUUAUUGGGCGUAAAGAGCGUGUAGACGGCUUGAUAAGUCAGAUGUGAAAGCCCUGGGCUUAACCCAGGAAGUGCAUUUGAAACUGUCUUGCUGGAGUAAGGGAGAGGGAAGUGGAAUUCCUGGUGUAGAGGUGAAAUUCGUAGAUAUCAGGAGGAACACCAGCGGCGAAGGCGACUUCCUGGCCCUAUACUGACGUUGAGACGCGAGAGCGUGGGUAGCAAACAGGAUUAGAUACCCUGGUAGUCC